rnacentral:rRNA from 1 species
AGUGAACGCUGGCGGUAGGCCUAACACUUGCAAGUCGAACGGCAGCACAGUAAGAGCUUGCUCUUACGGGUGGCGAGUGGCGGACGGGUGAGGAAUACAUCGGAAUCUACUCUUUCGUGGGGGAUAACGUAGGGAAACUUACGCUAAUACCGCAUACGACCUACGGGUGAAAGCAGGGGAUCUUCGGACCUUGCGCGAUUGAAUGAGCCGAUGUCGGAUUAGCUAGUUGGCGGGGUAAAGGCCCACCAAGGCGACGAUCCGUAGCUGGUCUGAGAGGAUGAUCAGCCACACUGGAACUGAGACACGGUCCAGACUCCUACGGGAGGCAGCAGUGGGGAAUAUUGGACAAUGGGCGCAAGCCUGAUCCAGCCAUACCGCGUGGGUGAAGAAGGCCUUCGGGUUGUAAAGCCCUUUUGUUGGGAAAGAAAAGCAGCAGGUUAAUACCCCGCUGUUCUGACGGUACCCAAAGAAUAAGCACCGGCUAACUUCGUG